AUUCAUCGACCCCAUGGCCUGCACAUCAACUAAUAAUCAGAGAUAUUUCUAUUGAUGUCUAUUGAUGUGGAACCCAUACGAUACUCUGGCAGUAUGUACGAGAAGGAGUCGGUUGCUAUCUUUGGUUAUCUAGCUGUAUGAGUGUUACUCGGCCGUCAUAAAGCUAGCUAACCGAAAGUAGGAAUGUCCUCCAAACCUGCGACUCGGACAGGAAUAAAUGGUGUCUGGGAGUAAAGACACAUAACAUAAUUGAUAUGCAAUUACAGGCCAAUACCUCAGUGCCUUUCCGGUUGAUCCAGUGCCCUUGUCACUGCAGUGGCUGCCUGAGAUACACACAGAAACUCUGCAGUGUGAACAGCACACGCUGUCUACUAUAUGUGACUGCCAGCCAUUCACACCAGGUCUGGAUUGAGCGAGGGGAAAGUGGCACAGUCGUCACAAAAAAAGGAAAAAGCAGGAGGGGAAGAAAAAGGCCAACCCCCUUGUCCCUCUUCCCUUAAAUCUCCAUCACCGGAAGCCUUUGGUGCCAUCUGUGCCCCCGGAGAAAAGGACGGGCGAGAUGCCUCCACCCUGUGCCAACGGGGACAAAGGAGCUGCCAGUUAGAGCGGCCCCCCUCGCAGGCAGCCAGAGGACUCUGUGUGACUGACUGGGGCUGAGCUACGGAAGCCAUCUUGAUGGAGAGUCUUGCUGCUGCUCCUAAAAUGGCUGUGUUGGCAUGAGGUCCUGCUGGUGUUGACAACCUCCAGAGGAAGCCUCUUCCACCAGCCCUGAGCCCUUGGCCCUGAGUCCUGGGCCCUGAGUCCUGGGCCCUGAGUCCUGGGCCCUGGGCCCUGGCAGUCGGUCUAGAAGCACCAAUGGGAAUAGCAUAUCAGAUCCCAGGAUGUCAUGCAAGGCCUUCCUCAUUGGCAUCCUCUCCAGUCAAACACUGAGAAAUGAGGGCACUGAAGAAUCCCCCCUAAAGUUAAUGUUUGGAUAGAUUUACUGUAAGGACAAUGUUUGGAGUUAUUUGAAGACAUUGCUUGCAGGAGUUGCACAUGGAUUAUCUGCAGAUAUAUUGCACUUGGGUAAUCAAUGUUCCCCAGCUGAGAGUGAGUGUAUAGUUUCAACAUCAUUUUUAACAUUACAGCAAAAUGUAAAACAAUGUGUGUAUGAUGUUAAAUCAAAAGGGAUGUGAUCAACUUGUGUUCAUUCCUUAAUUUAAGGACGUGUGUGUGUGUGUGUGUGUG
rnacentral:lncRNA from 1 species